CAAGUGGGAGCCACUUAGCUGGGUAGUUCUGACUCAGGGUUCUCAUGAGGUUGUAGACAAGUUGUUGGCCAAGGCUAUGAUCCUCUGAAGGUGCUGAAAAAUCUACUUACAAGCCCACUCCUGUGGUUGUUGUCAGAAGGCCUCAGUUCUUCACCAUGUGGGCCUUCAUAGGGCUUCUCAUGUGUCAUGGCAUCUAACUUCUGCCAAAGUGAGUGAUCAGAGAGAGAGAGAGAGAGAGAUUGACAUCCUCCAAGAUGAAAGCCACACUCUUCCAGUAUUUUUAGAACCUGGCAUCCUCAUAUACCAUGGCUUGCACCCAUGAUAUUAGUCACCCAGGCUAGUCUUGGAACAAUGAGGGGAGGAGAUGACACAUGGUGUGAAUACUGGACUGGAGAUCAUUGGGAGUCAUCUUGAAGUUUCAAGGCUGCCCACCACACCUUGAUCUCCCCCGGAUUCCCAGCAUGUCUUUUCAACUUAGGAAACAGUUGGGCUCCUUCUGGAUCCCUCUUCCCUGCUUCUGUCUCAUCACUCACCCUGGAGGCUUUCCCCAGGUUAUAAGGUAGAACACUGAUAGGGCUCAUCCUGUUUGCUUCCUGUCUCUCAGGCAUCAUCCUGUUUGCUUCCUGUCUCUCAGGGAUCAUUGUCCGGUGCUACCAGGUGUCCUGUGUCGGAGAACCAUAGUUUUAUAUGUUUUGUCUGUUUUUGUUUGUUGCAGGAAGGAAAGUAAAUUUGAUCCUUUUUAUGCCAUCUUGGCUGGAAGUAAAAGUCUUCACGUAUUUUGGUAUAAAAUCCAGCUGUUGACUAAGGCUUUAAUCUGAUAACACUUUUUUUUUUUUUUUUUUUUUUUUUGUCAGGGACAGUGAAAUGGAUGGAGGGGGAAUGUGAAGGCUCUGUAAUUUGGCACCUGAGGUGGAUAAUGGUUGUUUGAAGCUGUGGGAUGGACGGGUCUGGGUGAGGAGCACAGUGAGGAAUCAGACUAUGGAACAAACAUCUUCCUAAUUUUAUCAAGGGCUCAUCUUAGUGAUUUUCGUCUCCAUCCCAUUUGAUAAUACCUCUUCCCCCAUGAUAACCCUUUGCCGCCGUGUAAGAAGUACCUUUCACCUUCCACCAUGAUUGUGAGGCCUCCCCAGCCACGUGGAAAUGGCAGGUGCAGAGGAUCCAGCAUGUUAUUCUGAAACCCCAGAAGACGCUGCAGCUACCAAAUAGAAGGAGCCUGGAUCCCUGAAUGUCUUCAUGGAACAGAACAUUCUCCUCACUCCAGUCUGUUUGAACCAGAAUAUGACCUGAGCAAGAAAUAAGCCUUAAUUAUAUUUGACCAUAGAAUUCUGGUGAUAUUUCUAUGGCUGUAAGUCCAUGUUGAUUAAUACAAAGGGAUGCUGUAAAGCCUCUUCUAUUAAAAAAAGUUGCCCAAGGAGUGAAAGGAGAGAUAUUUUCUGUAAUUAAGAUUUUCAUAAUACAUAGAACAGGCUAUAGCACCUGGCAAUCAAUCAUAUGGGGUACAACAGAAAGAGGAAACAUUCCUGCUAUUAAAUUAACCAAACUGGAGUUCUUGUUAUAUAAUAUAGUAAAAUUUCCUCAAUCUUUCAGCCACCUUUAGUUCUGUAAUCUAUUAUUUCUGGGUAAAAGCAUACCAUUUGAUACACAAUCCAAACCCAAUUCUUAAUUAAUAACGUGUAUCCACUGUAUCUUACCACAUCCCAAAUCAUCUAAUACUUAACCACCUAGUUUCUAUGUUCCACUUACAUCAAACAUAUUCAUGUUUGGAAAAUUGAGCCAGCAUCUACUGCCUUAUCAGCUGAUGCAUAACAAUUUACUUUGUCUGUGCUCUAUAAUAAUGCAAGUCUGCUUGGAAAGAUAACACGUUAAAGGGUUAUCAGACCCUAACACCUUCGUAUAGAUGAAUUUAUCAGAUCCUCUGCUAAACCACUUUCGAAUCCUUGGCCAGUUCUCUACAUUUCAUGAAGAGUUAGCAUAGCCAGUCCAGGAGAUAUUAUCUUCAGGAUGUGGUCAGUUGUGGAAAGGAAGAUAGCUCUGAGGAUCUCUUUCCAGGGAAAAGAAAGACAUGAGGAUUGCUCCAAAGAUCCUCUUUCUGGGGGAAAACGCACAUACUACAG
rnacentral:lncRNA from 10 species